ensembl:lncRNA
CCUGGGAUGGGAUGGGAUGGGACAUUGGGAUGGGAUGGGAUAAUGGGAUAAUGGGAUGGAGCAGGACAACACAGGAGGACACAGCGCAGCAGGGAGAGGAUGGAACAUUCCCGGAAUGCCCAUUCCCUGUGCUGGAGCCUCACCCGUAGCGCUGCUCCUGCCAUCCCGGUGCCCAUCCCCGCGCGGCAGCCGGGGCCGUUCCGGGGCUCACGAAGACGUUCUCGUAGUCGGGGGCAUCGGCGACAUCGGCGCUGCCGAUCCCGGUGUCCCGACUGAUGUAACGGGGCUGCCGGAGGUUCCCAGCGGGAUCCUGCUUCCCCCUUCCCGCACCGGCCACCGCGGCUCCCGUUCUCCUCCGCCCCCUCCUGUUCUCCUCCGCCGGUACCAAACCACGGCAGCGCCCACGGCCACCAGCGCGGCCACGGCCGCAGCCGCCCCAGCCACUCCGGCCACCAGCCCCACGCGGGACCCGCAUUCCCGGCCGUGGAACUCCGUGACGUCGAAGGGAUGCUGCUGGGAUGUGAAGCAGUGGCAGAGGAUCCCCGAGCGGGCACAGGGAGCCAGGACGGUGCCCAGCAGGUCACAGCGGCAGGACACGGACAGGGAGCGCAGCGAGGGCUGGAAGGCGGCGGGGGGCAGGGCGGGGAGGGGGUUCCCUUCCAGCCGCAGGGUCCGCAGCGCCGUGGCGUUGGUGAAGAACCCACGGGGCAGCUCCCGCAGCCGGUUCUCCGCCAGGUCCAGCUCCUCCGUGCUGGGGCCCAGGCGGGCCCAGGGGCUCAGGGACUCGAUGCCGUUGUGCCUCAGCACCAGCCGGCGCUGCCGCUGGAACGGGCUCCAGUCCAGCUCGGCACAUCCACGGCUCCUGUUGGUCAGGUCCAGGUCCUCGGGAGUGUCCAGCAGCAAGGCCGAGCAGGGGGACACCGUGGGCAUGGGGGUGACAGGGCGCAGCAGCAGCAGCAGCAGCAGCACGAGCGGGGCCGCAGGGAGCCCCAUGGUCCCCCCCACUGCAGCGAGACCCUGGUGGGAAAAGAGAAUCAGGACCCCCCGUUCCCACCGGAUCCCCCCUCCCAGUGCAAACCAGUGCAGCCCAGUCCAAUCCCGGCCCCACCGCCGCUGUUCCAGGGCUGGGCAGCUCCUGGGGGUCCCAGCGGGGCAUUUCCUGCCCCCCUUCCCUCUCCCAACCACCGCAGCCCGACUCGCCUGCGCUCCGGCCGCUGCUGCCUGGUGUGGGGAAGAGGAACAGGCGGGUCCGGCUGUCCCGUGUCACCCUGUCAGGGCGUAGGCGGCCCCGGUGGGGCAGGGGGGGGCAGCACCCCCAAACCAGCACCCCUUGACCCCUGCCAGACGCCCCCCCAAAGUCCUUUUUUGGGGUGCUGAGAAUCCCCCUGGCACCGGGUGAGUGUCACGGUGACCCCGGUGACCCCCAAGGGGUGGGGGGCACACGCGUGGGGACACAGGGACACCCACACGCGUGCGCUCACAGACCCCCCCGGCAGCGCAGGGACCCCCCGAGUGUGAGGGGACCCCGGGACCGGGUGGGAGCCGGGGAACUCUGAGUCUGUGUCGCCAUCCCGGUGUCCCCUCCCCGUGUCUGCAACUCGAUGUCCCACCAGCCGCGAGUGCAUCACGUUCGUGUCCACUCCCCACGUCCAAGCCCUCCUGGUGUCCAUGUCCCUCCACCUUGCCCACCCCGCUGUGUCCCUCCUUGUCCCUCCUUGUCCCCCCGUGUCACACCGUGUCCGUGUCCGCCCCCUGGUGUCCGAGUCCCUUCUCGACUACCCGCUCCCAUUCCUGUCCCUGUGUCCUCCGUCGUGUCCGUGUGUCCGUGUAAGUCCAGCCCCGCUGCGUCCAUGUCCACCUGUCCCAUCCGUGUCCCUCCGUGCCCCGUGUCUGUGGCCACCCCCUCGUGGCCACCUCCGCGUCCACCCUCUCAAAUCCGUGUCCCUCCAUGACCAUCCUGCCUCCAUCCCCUCGUGUCACUGCCCCUUUAAGUCCACCCCAUCGCGUCCGUGUCCACCCUGUCACAUCCGUGUCCCUCCGUGUCCCCCGUGUCCCCCUGUGUCCCCCCUCCCAUAUCCACCCCUUCGUGUCCGUGUCCACCCCUUCAUGUCCGUAUCCACCCUUUCGUGCCCGUGUCCCUCCGUGCCCACCCCCUCACGUCCGUGUCCACCCUGCCACCCCCCCCCCCCCCCCCCCCCCCCCCUCCGUGCCCCCCCCCUCACGUCCGUGUCCACCCUGCCACAUGUCCACCUCCUGCAUCCCCCCGUGUCCGUGUCCACCCCUUCGUGUCCCUCCGUGACCACCGUGUCCGCGUCCCCAAGUGUCACUGCCCUUUUAACUCACCCCCUCGUGUCCCUGGUCCCCAGUGUGUCCCCGUCCCUGGAUGCCCACCCCUCUCGUGUCCUUACCCCUCCAUGCCCACCCCCAUCAGUGCGUCCCCCCGUGUCCGUGCCCAAUCCUCGCCUCCGCGGCCCUGUGUCCCCACAUCCCCCGCGCCCACCCCCUCCUGUCCCCCCCCCCCCCCCCCCCCCCCCCCCCCCCCCCCCCCCCCCCCCCCCCCCCCCCCCCCCCCCCCCCCCCCCCCCCCCCCCCCCCCCCCCCCCCCCCCCCCCCCCCCCCCCCCCCCCCCCCCC